AAAAAUUUAGUUAAUUUAUAACAUUAGUUUGUCAAACUAAAGUAAUUUUUAAAUAAAUAAUUUUUA
rnacentral:tRNA from 1 species